rnacentral:lncRNA from 1 species
AGCGCCGCGGGCCCCUCGGGGUCCAGGCUGUGCCUGCGCGCUCGCGCGCCCCGCCGACCUACCCUCCAGGGUCCGCGCGCCCUCCGCCCACCGCUGGGUCGCCUGCCCGCCGCCGUGUCAUCAGCCACAGGGCCUGGUCACAGGUGUCUACAGGUGCACCAGCCGUCGCCUGGCCACAGGCCUGGUCCACUAGUGCCGCAGUUAGGCUGGGUCACAGGGCCUGGUCACCCUUGUGGUUACGCUGGGUCACAGGGCCUGGUCAGCCAGGUCCGUGGGUGUGCAGGGUUGCAAGGCCUGCUACCCGCCUGCCGUGAUGGUACUGUCAGACCUGGCCACCUGUGUCCGAAGCUGUCCUGUCACUCACCUGGCAUGGUCACACAUGUCUUUGUUACACAUGUCCACGGCUGCACUGUCGGUCACUGGGUCUGGUCACCCGUGCCUUCCGCUGUGCUGUCGGUCACUCUGGGCUGUCCCGGGCCUCUGAUGACUUGUCUGCAUCGGCACCUGCCUCUGUGUGACUGCUGGGCCUGUUUCUGUGGGUCUUCUGUCCCCUGUGGGUGCCUGGGAGUUUCGGUUGUGCCAGGCCUUGUGGGCGCUGGUGUGAGCUGUUGAAAGAGGCUUGCGCCCAGGGCUGCUUUCCCACCGGCCACAGCCCUCAGAUGCCCCAGGAAGUGCCCGGGCUGUCCGGGCUUCGGGUCGAUCCCCACAGGCCUGAGCUGGUGCGUGCUCAGGUGAAGACCUAGAGGAGCUCCAGGAGACCUCGGAGCAGUCUCCACAGGUCUUCCCUCCUGGCCCCUGGAAUCCGAGCUGUGUGCUCAACUCCACUACAAGGGCCUGUUUGCAUUGUGGCCCGGAAACUCCACAGGCUGCUGAAACAGCCUUUCCUUAGGACCACAGUCCUGUGCUGCCUGCUGUCGAGGUCUGCAAACCACCAGUUUACGCUUUUCAUCUGAUUUUUGAGUUGUUUAAAUCUACUAACUCAUAUUUCAUCAUGGUCAGUAGAAGUUUUUUCUUCUGCUUUCAAACAACAGUGACUUUA